rnacentral:sRNA from 1 species
GCACUCACAUUUUCGAUUAUUUUCUGAUUCUGAUUCUGAUUUCCUUUAUUUUCUUUUCUUUUUGAUUUGAACAAAAUUACUUCAUUUUUUCAGGUUCAAACUUCCUCACAAACAUGUGUUAUUCGGGGAUUCAGCCACUACAAUUUUCAGAAAGAACAAAAAUACAAAAAGAAUUCCAAGAUUCAUAGCCAUGCCCAAGGUUAAGACUCUCCAGAGGCUUCCAUCCACGUCGAUCACAGCGCAUCGCCACAAUGAAUGAUAAAGAUGACGAUGCAGAGCCUUCGCGUUCAAGCCAACAGCUCUCAGAGAUGUCAACAUUACAAGAGAGUUUGUAAUCUUGGGAGCAGAAAGUUAACAAGGCCAAAGAUCAUAUUAGCCGUUAUGUCCCUGGCCAGUGGGCUCAUACCAAGAGCACUGACAAUAGCUUAAUACCCUGUUUAAACGCGUGCCUUGAUUGGCUGCCCACAGAAGGUGUGGAUUCUCUGGUCCAUGAUGUGGAGAGUUGCAGUGACAAUGAUGAAGCUCUUUAUUAUGUCUUCAAAAAUUUGGCAUCUGGACUUUUGCAGCCCAGUGAGUUCAGAUUUAUUUAUUUCUUUCUUAUUUUCUUCUCUCUAGGUACCUUUCUUUGAUGAAUCAAAAUAUUGAAUUUUUUUUUUUGCCAUAGUGAAAGCUCUGAGUCCCGGGGCUUCUGUGACUGAAUCUCAUAUCAUCAAGUGCCAAAGAAAUGCAGAUCUCGUUGCUGCGAACCUCCCCGAACCCCAAUCACGAACUGAUGAAUUCCGUGACAUAUGCCUUCGUCGAGAUGGAUCUCGCUGUGUUGUAACACAACGGAUGGAUUUAAACCUUUGGAAGAGUAUCAAUCGGCCUUCUGACAUCAAUCAUGGUGAUGUAGAGGCGGCACACAUAAUACCUUUCGCCUAUGCUUCAUGGCAUGGUAUUUCGGGGGAGAAAAAAUGCUGCAAAUGACUGGGAGACUUUGUACCAAGCACUGAUGAUGUCCGUUGGGACCAUCAAAAGAGAAUUGGUCAAGCAAGGUCCGGAUAUACUGCCUUCCACGGCAAUGUGGAUCACCUUUCGUCAAUAGAUGGAUGAUUUUGCCCUCAUUACUGGUCUCCGAAGCUCCCGCAACCAGUAUCUUCAGCGACACAUAGCGCUGGAGAUGCUGGUCGCGAGGGAGCCAGAUUGUUGAAUAAGCACCAAAUCCAAGCUUGUGAACUAUUUUGUAGCGACCGCUACAAAAGGUGUCUCCAACAAGAGUUGGAUGGUAUCCGCCGGGCCUGUAUCCUUCCAAAUCCUCCACAUCUACCUCGGGGUAGUAAAUUCUUUCAUCUUCCGGAGGGAGUGAUUCGGCCAUGGAAUGGUAACACGGAAUUACUGGCUGGGAGGCAAGCCGGAGUCGCGACGCUGGAGACUUAUGAGGAAGCAGUUGGUGACUGUGCUGAAAGAUGACGAAGCGAGAGAGAAAAGUGCCAACUCUGUCAACAGAAGCAUAUCUCCAGCCAACACUCAUUGUCUUGUUGAUGGGUAAGGAGUUGAGGAUAUGUUCAGGAUAGUUGCUGAUGAUACCUGAGAUAAGGCAAUUGCAGGUGGAGCUCAGGUACGCUAUAACUGAAUUAAAAAGAGGGCGGUACGAUCGUCAACUCCAUGUAGCACGUCUUACAUCACAGACUAUUUCCGCACAU